GACUUCCUGACCUUGAUAGACCUGUAAUAUUAAAUCACUGCUUUACUGUAAUUGCACCACAUGACUAAAUAAUGAAUAAUUCUAUAUGAACUGACAAGAGAUGCAUAGGAAUGCGAUAAUUUUAAGAGCUAGCAAGUCAUUCAAAUGAGUUCAGAUUCAUUGUACUGCGCCAGUGCAUACCAUUGAGAACAAAAAUCAGAUUACCAAGCAUAACAGAUCAUUGCAUAAAGUUAAAUGAUUCUAUAUCCAAGCAAUGAAUACAGCUGGAGAUGCUAGUUGAAAAGAAACAUGGCAAAACGUUGAUGAUGUAGUCAAGGAAGUUAGAUACAAUGCAUGUUUGAGCAGGGUACAUUGUCCAAAGGCCAGUGUGAGUUUUUCAAUAGAAUGGACAGGCAUUGAUAAUUGUGAAAGAUCAAGAAUGAUGAUCCCAAAGAAGAAAGUCUGAAGAAGAUGCAUCUUCUCCAACCAAGACACAGAGCAGUUGGGGGGGUGUGUGUUGGGUUGUGGGCGGAGGAAUAAAAAAGUAAAAGUUGAAAAGCUUUCUUACGCCCCCACCAAAAAAUAAAAAACAAAAAUUGGAUUAAACAUUAUGGUUUGCUAAUGGUCCAAUUUCGAG
rnacentral:misc_RNA from 1 species